rnacentral:ribozyme from 1 species
AGCAGGAAAGGAGUAAACAGGAGAGAAGCAAAGAAUAAAAAAAGAGGUGGAAAAUAGGCAAAGGGCGGUGCGGGUGAGAGCCUCCUUUUUUUUCCCUCUUUUUGUUGUCCCACCUCUUUUU